AUGGACGGGAGCGACGCCGACCCCGGGACGGGAAGCGGCGGCGGGGGGUUCGAGUGGGAUGCGGAUUCCCAGCUCUACUACCACGCCAGUACUGGGUUUUACCAUGACCCUGUCGCUGGCUGGUACUACAGCAGCACAGAUGGUCAGUACUACAUCUAUGAGAAUGGAGAUUACGUGUUAUGGACUUCAGAUGUGGGCAAGGAACCCAAUGUACAGAGUCCAUGUGAUGAAGCUAGCCAAAGUUUCCUGGAAUCCUCUUCAGGGCCGGAACCGGAUAUUCCACAUCAACCGCCAUCAGAAUGGCUGGAGGAAACACUAAUUAACAUGUAUUUAUCAGGAUACUCUAAUAUAGAGGUCAGCACUGAAAAUUUACUACGAGAAUCACAGAUAAGUGAGGAAGGCAAAAGUGAUGAAGUUGAGAAUAAACUCAGUAACGUGGCUUCAGAUAAUGCGUCAGACUCUCUGAAUGAUGCUACAUUACAGCAAAUAGAAGAUAAAAUGGAAAUCGAGAACUUCACAGCUGUGCAUGAAUCUGUAAGGGAAGAAGAAGAGAAAUGGCUUUCUCAGUAUGGUCAAGUAGAGAGAGUAAAUGAUGAGCUGCCAUUGUUUCCGAGCGUUGAUCUUUGGGACUGGCAUAUGGUCACAGAACCUGAUAGCAAAGGUCAGCCCAUGACUAGGCUUGUGGGACGUUUAACUAGGGGUUCUAGUAAGCUUCAUCCUUCCCUGCCUGCUCGUGGUGGCCUUCUAAGAACCGCUCCUGUGCGUGAAGUUCAUCUUGAUCUUGUACGUGUUUCAUCAGGGAAGCUCUACAGGCUAAGGAACCCAAGCAGAAAAUACCUGGCCUCUUUAUCAGCGUAUGACUCUUCGAAUCCAACAAAAGAUUGGGCUUUUCCUGACCUAUAUGCCAACCCUAAUAACAAUUCAGAUAAGCAGUCUACUGCAUGUUGUCUGUCUGAUGUUGCUCAUGAAUCUUCUACCGGGGAAGGUGUUUCAGCUGCUAGUGGCAAGGAGCACAAGAUAAAUACUUAUAGGGACAGGGCUGCUGAGAGAAGAAAGCUACACCGCGGCUUAGGGAUAGGACCUGGGCAGAAGCAAAGUAACGGCAUGAGUUCUGAUGAAUAUGAAGAGGCAAUCGAGGACAUGGACUCCUUGGGAGCUGGACCAGUUGAUAUGAACUUAUGUUCCAGCGGUUUGAAGUCUGCCAAGAGAAUCAUGGAGAACAUGGGCUGGAAAGAAGGAGAGGCUCUUGGUAAAAGCAGACAGGGUAUUGUAGAACCUAUACAGCCUACUUUCAACAAACAUGGUGCUGGUUUGGGAUGGAGUCAAACCCGCUGA
rnacentral:rRNA from 1 species